rnacentral:rRNA from 1 species
UGGGGAAUACGUGGACAAUGGGCGCAAGCCUGAUCCAGCAAUGCCGCGUGUGUGAAGAAGGCCUUCGGGUUGUAAAGCACUUUUGUCCGGAAAGAAAUCCUUGGCUCUAAUACAGUCGGGGGAUGACGGUACCGGAAGAAUAAGCACCGGCUAACUACGUGCCAGCAGCCGCGGUAAUACGUAGGGUGCAAGCGUUAAUCGGAAUUACUGGGCGUAAAGCGUGCGCAGGCGGUUUGCUAAGACCGAUGUGAAAUCCCCGGGUCUCAACCUGGGAACUGCAUUGGUGACUGGCAGGCUAGAGUAUGGCAGAGGGGGGUAGAAUUCCACGUGUGAGCAGUGAAAUGCGUAGGGAUGUGGAGGAAUACCGAUGGCGAAGGCAGCCCCCGUGGGCCAAUACUGA